GUCAAGAUAGUAUAAAGAAUACAUAGGAUUUAGGUUCCUAAGAUGGAAUUUAAUAUUCCUCAUGAUA
rnacentral:tRNA from 1 species